rnacentral:lncRNA from 1 species
GUCAGAUCCAGGAUGCCUAUGGGUCUGAUGGAUGUCCCAGCACUUGGUCAAUAUGCAGGACAUGUCCGGUAUAAACCAUGCUUCGAUGAGACGAGAUGCGGGUGAGGUCACCAUGCUCUUCAAAGAUUUUGCUGAUGCCCAGGCGGGACAGAACCUUCUUCAUGUUAGUAGGAGAGGUUCAACUCUUGGAUUCAAGGUGCCUCAUAGUCUCUGACUACAUCCUGCUUCCUACCCAACUUCCUACAGAGCCCAUAUCCACUAGAAACAUCCUCAGGCUCCUUCCCCAUGUUUAUGACCUCCCCACAGCACACUGAGCUGUGCUGUACCCUGAGUCAGAUUAAAGCCCUGCAAGCC